rnacentral:rRNA from 1 species
GGUCACGCGAACCUUACCUAUCGUUGCUUCGGCGGUCACGCCCCGGCGCCCUCGCGGCCCGGACCCAGGCGCCCGCCGGAGACCCCAAACCCCCGCUGUCUUUAGUGGUUUUCUCCUCUGAGUGACAUAAACAAAUAAAUAAAAACUUUCAACAACGGAUCUCUUGGCUCUGGCAUCGAUGAAGAACGCAGCGAAAUGCGAUAAGUAAUGUGAAUUGCAGAAUUCAGUGAAUCAUCGAAUCUUUGAACGCACAUUGCGCCCUCUGGUAUUCCGGAGGGCAUGCCUGUUCGAGCGUCAUUUCAACCCUCAAGCCCCCAGUGCCUGGCGUUGGGGAUCGGCGCGGCGUCCCUCCGGGGGCGCUGCCGGCCCCGAAAUUCAGUGGCGGUCUCGCUGUAGCCCUCCUCCGCGUAGUAGCACAACCUCGCGGCCUGGAGCUCGGCGGUGGCCAUGCCGUAAAACACCCCACUUCUGAAAGUUGACCUCGGAUCAGGUAGAAGCAUAUCAAUAAGGCGGAGAA